rnacentral:sRNA from 1 species
GGCUUUUAACAAAGUCUAGCGGUGACACCUGUGACCAGGCUGAUUGCCAGGAUUGACUGGCUGAUCUGGCAUCUUAGCCCACAGUUCCCUUUCUCUGAGAACUCCAUGUGUGUUUUUCCCAAAGUGUCAACUCAAUCAAAAAGAAUGGCAUUUCCAAGCAGUCUACUCUUAGUCAAGAUAUAUGGGGAGUUAGAGUCCCUGGCUAGAUCUUUCCAACAAAUAGUGGACCUCCUCUUGCAAGCAAACAUAGGUUAGCCAAAUCCACUUUACAAAGUAUCUUUCUCCAUCUGAUAUUUUGUAAUAGU